rfam:Danio rerio chromosome 3, GRCz11 reference primary assembly.
GCUGGCAGCUAGCUCUCUGCAACUCUCACAUGGACGCCCGCUGAAGCUAAGCAGGGCUGCGCCUGGUCUGUACCUGGAUAGGAGACCACAUGGGAAAGCUAGGUUGCUGCCAGAA